GACGAACGCUGGCGGCGUGCUUAACACAUGCAAGUCGAACGGAAAGGCCCUGCUUUUGUGGGGUGCUCGAGUGGCGAACGGGUGAGUAACACGUGAGUAACCUGCCCUUGACUUUGGGAUAACUUCAGGAAACUGGGGCUAAUACCGGAUAGGAGCUCCUGCUGCAUGGUGGGGGUUGGAAAGUUUCGGCGGUUGGGGAUGGACUCGCGGCUUAUCAGCUUGUUGGUGGGGUAGUGGCUUACCAAGGCUUUGACGGGUAGCCGGCCUGAGAGGGUGACCGGCCACAUUGGGACUGAGAUACGGCCCAGACUCCUACGGGAGGCAGCAGUGGGGAAUAUUGCACAAUGGGCGGAAGCCUGAUGCAGCAACGCCGCGUGCGGGAUGACGGCCUUCGGGUUGUAGACCGCUUUCGCCUGUGACGAAGCGUGAGUGACGGUAAUGGGGAAAGAAGCACCGGCUAACUACGU
rnacentral:rRNA from 1 species